CACAAACUGCAACCACUCGAACCCCGUUAUAAAGGUAAGCCCUGCGGAUUAGGUGAGUCUAAGUUGUUAC
rfam:Weissella kandleri strain DSM 20593 Scaffold2, whole genome shotgun sequence.